rnacentral:rRNA from 1 species
UUUAUUAGAAGAGACGCAUUUAUUAGAUAAAAAGCCAAUGCAUGCUUUUACAGUAUGAAAAUUGGUGAUUUAUAAUAACUUAGCAAAUCGCAUAGUGAAAACAGGCGAUAAAUCAUUCAAGUUUCUGACCUAUCAGCUUUCGACGGUAUGGUAUUGGCUUACCGUGGCAGUGACGGUUAACGGGGGAUUAGGGUUCGAUUCCGGAGAGGGAGCCUGAGAAACGGCUACCACAUCUAAGGAAGGCAGCAGGCGCGCAAAUUACCCAAUUCUAACAGUUUGAGAGAGGUAGUAACAAGAAAUAACAAUACAAGGCAGUUAAAAUGCUUUGUAAUUGGAAUGAUAGAAAUUUAAACCCUUUUUAAAGUAUCAAUUGGAGGGCAAGUCUGGUGCCAGCAGCCGCGGUAAUUCCAGCUCCAAUAGCGUAUAUUAAAAUUGUUGCAGUUAAAAAGCUCGUAGUUGAAGUUCUGCUAAAAGUAACCGGUCUGCUUUGAAUAAAAGUGGUAUCUUGGUAUGUAUUUAGCAAUGAUGUCCUUUGAAGUGUUUUUUACUUUAUUGUAAUAAAGCAUAUUCAGGACUUUUACUUUGAGAAAAUUAGAGUGUUUCUAGCAGGCCAACGCUUUGAAUA